AAUAUAUAAAGACAACAAAUAUGAAUAGCGAUCAAAUUGGUCAGAUUUUAUUUUGACCAACUAAUUUUUCUCACGUUUAUCUCUCUCUUCUUCUUCGACCACUAGAGUUUUCUCUCGUUUGAUCCGCCAUAACUCACAAUUGCUCCAAGUUAACAUGGUAUCAGAGCGAGAAUCUAGACUCCUCUCAUCGUGAGCUUUCUUCCGGUUGUACCCUUGCCAGAAGUUUUUGUCGUUUUGGUUUCGAUCGACGACGGCGGUGGUCGAAACAGUGUUCAUAUUCUUUCCAUCAGAGAAAUUUGGGGUUUUUCAACAUCGAUCCUUGCUUGAGGUAUAUCUCUUCUGAAAUUUUGAUUUUCACGGAAGUAUCAUCAAAUUUGUGAAGAACAACUCUUUCUAGAGUUUGCGAUUAAACGAGACCUUACUUUUUCGAGUUUUCAGAAGAAGGCUGGUAAUUUACUCUCUCCUAUUGCAUGUGUUGUAUCUCUGUUUGUCUCUAUUGUUCUCAACUCAAUUUAACUUCUAUGUUGUGUAUUUGUUAUGACUGGAUGUAAAAUGGGUAGUAUACUGGAUAAUAAUGAUGUGUCUCUCACUUCUGAUAGUUUCACUCCCUUCUCAUUGGAUCUAUCUCACCCUCUAUAUAUUCAUCCGUCUGAUAACCCUGAUAGUCUAUUGGCGUCUGUACCAUUCAAUAGGCCUAGUUUGGUGCUUUGGAGAAGUAGUAUGAUUACAUCUCUCUCUGCAAAGAAUAAGUUAGGCCUUGUAGAUGGUAGAAUCUCCAAGCCUACAUCAGAUUCCCCUUAUUAUGCAUAUUGGGAAAGAUGUAAUAACAUGGUCAAGGCCUGAAUAACAAGUUCAGUAUCUAGAGAGAUUGCUACCAGUGUGAUGUGCUUUAAUACUGCCAAGGAAUAAUAGGUUUGGGCAGUCAAACGGGCCCAAAUACAUUCAAAUUCAAAGGGAAGUCCAUUUCACUACUCAGAGGCCUCCUAUUUGACAAAAAUAAUAAGCCUCUGAGAUGAGAUGCAUUCCUCCUAUGUAGGACCUGUAUGCUCUUGUGGAGCCUUUCCUAAGUUCAUAGAAGAUCAAUAAUUAUUUCAAUUCCUAAAUGGCCUAAAUGACUCAUACUCAACUGUAAAGAGUGUUAUUAUGAUGAUGAAUCCCAUUCCACCCAUGAGCAAGGCAUAUUCCCUUCUUCAACAAGAUGAGAGUCAAAUGGAAGCUCAUUUUUCUGCUCUAAAUUUUUCUGGAAAUAUAGCUUAUUUCUUGGUUUCUCCUAGUUUAUCCAAUGGGAACAAGACUUUUAGUCAGAAGGUGAAUUUUGAAUCCGGGAGGACUAACAAACCUGUUUCUUGAAAGUAUUACAAGAAACCUGGAUACACUGCGGAUAAAUAUUAUAGACUCCUUGGAUUUCCUCUAGACUUCAAGUUCACAAAGAACAAGAAGUCUGCUUCAUGUGUCCAGACUGAACCUUCUUUUACUUCUUCUACACAUGCAUGUGCAUCGCCAACUACACAAUUUUUUGAGCCAUCAGUUCAUGGAUUCACUAGAGAGCAGUACCAAAACCUUCUGACCUUGUUUCAGCAGGCUAUUUAUCCUCUGGGUCUACUCAUGAUGGUUCCACUGUGGACAACACAUCUUUUGCAUAUUGUGCAGGUUUGUUUAGUAGUUAUGAUGUAGGUUAUGUGGAUUCUCAUGUAUGUGCUUCAUCAUAGUUAGAUGUAAAUCCUUGGAUAUUAGAUACAUGUGUCACUAAUCAUAUGACUCCACAUAGACACCUACUCUUUAAUGUACAACCAUUAACCAAAUCAUUCCUUGUCACCUUGCCUAAUGGAUAUAAAGCCAAAGUUAUUUUCACUAGCUCAUUACAUCUCAGACAUGAUAUAGUUUUGCUUCAUGUCCUUCUUGUUCCAUCUUUUCAUUUCAAUUUGAUUUAUGUGUAUCAACUCAUCUGUCAGCUAGAUUGUUUAGUUUUAUUUACCAAAUCACUCUGCUCUUUACAAAGCCCUUCUCUGAAGAGGCCACUGGAAAUUAGUAAGACUGCAUGAAGGCUAUACUAUCUCUAUCCAGAUGCUGACCUUUUUCCUACUACAUCCACUUCUAUGUCUAUUUCUACUUCAUGUACUUCUUUGCAUGUUUCUGUUCCUUCUGUUAAAGCUAGUAAUGUAAUAGAUCAUGUUGUUGAUGUUGUUUUCUGUAAUCACUCAUCUAUUUCUAAUAAAGUGAAUUUGUUUUGGCAUCAAAGACUGGGGCAUAUGCCUUUUCACAAAAUGAAGUCUAUUAUGUACUUGUAUGACAAAGUUUCAUCUAAACAAACUUUCUUUUGUCCUGUGUGUCUAAUGGCUAGACGAUAAAGAUUACCUUUUCUUGAAAGUGUAAUACAUUCCACUGUCCCAUUUCAAAUAGUCCACGUUGAUAUUUGGGGUUCAUAUAAUACUAAAACUUACAACGGAUUCAGAUAUUUCUUGACUCUAGUAGAUGAUUAUACAAAGGCUAUCUGGACCCAUCUUCUUUCUUUUGUAAAAGCAAUGCACUUUUCAUCAUUAAAGCUUUCACUGCUAUGGUCAAAGUGCAUUUUAAAUCCUUUAUCCAAACUUUUAUAUUAGAUAAUUCUCUUGAACUUGGUAGUAGCCCUAGGGGCAUCACUUUUUUCAAUAGUGAAGAGAUUUUACACCUAAUUACUAUUCCACAUACUCUCCAAAGAUGGGACGACUGUAUCCUAACUACCACCUAUCUCAUCAAUAGAAUUCCUUCAGUUGUUAUUAAGAAUCUAUCACCCUAUGAAAAAUUACAUGGGAUUCCUCCGUCCUAUGACCACCUCAAGUCUUUUGGGUGUUUAUGUUUUGCUACCUCUCCCAAGGUAGGCAGAGAUAAAUUUUAGUCUAGGGUCAUACCUUUUAUUUUUUUUGGGGUACCCUUGUGGCAAAAAGGGUUACAAGCUUCCUAACAUUUCCAAUCAUUCUAUUUUCUUCUCUAGGGAUGUAGUUUUCUAUGAACAUAUGUUUCCUUAUAAGUCUGAUUCUUCUCCUAUUUUGUCUCCUUCUCCUCUUUCUGAUCCUAUAGAUUCCAUACCUCCUCCUGCCUCUUUUAUCCCUAGCAAUGAUACUUUCCCUUCUGAUAUUCCUCCUUUCAAUCCAACUCCUAGUCCUUCUACUCCACCCUCUACUUCUCCUGUUUAUCAUUCUCCAGUUUCUCUGCUUGAUCCUUCUUCCCUAUGAUUCUUCCUCUCCUCCUUCUAUUCUUCCUUUGAGAAGAUAUUCCAGACCAGUCCAACAACGUAUCCACCUUAAAGAUUAUAUUUGCUCUUAUGUUCUUUCACCUACAUCCAUUUUACCUUCCAAGGUAUCCGCUGUUGAUUUGCAUAUUCAUGUUGAGUUCUACCAGCAGCUUGCUUCCAAUUCUGCUUGGAAAGAGGUCAUGCUAAAGGAAUUUCAGGCUCUUGAGGCAAAUUAGACAUGGGACAUUGUGCCUCCUCCCCCUCAUAAGAAAGCUAUUCCUUAUAAGCGGGUUUAUAAAAUAAAGCAGAAGGUUGAUGGAUCCAUUGAAAGAUAUAAAGCAAGACUAGUUAUUAAGGGUGAAUCUCAGCAGGAAGGAAUUAACUUUACAAAAAUAUUUUCUCAUGUUGUUAAGCUCACAACCAUCAAAUUCUUACUAACUCUGGCUGCUAAGAAAAUGUGGAUUGUUUUCCAGCUUGAUGUUAAUAAUGCCUUCCUCCAUGGUGAUCUCCAUGAUGAGGUCUACAUGAAGGUCCCACCUGGUCUUGAUAUUUGUGUCUAUUCUUCUUCUUCUUCUUCUUCUUCUUCUUCUUCUUCUUCUUCUUCUUCUUCUUUGGUUUGCAAACUCAAGAAGUCCCUCUGUUGCCUUAGGCAAUCUUUCAGGCAGUGAUUUUCAAAACUGUCUGAAGCUCUACUUUCUAAAGGCUACACUUCAAGUCUUAAUGAUUACUCUUUAUUCACCAAGUCUUCUUCUGAUUCUCUAGUUAUCUUGGCUGUGUAUGUUGAUGAUAUUCUAUUGACUGGUAAUGAUCUCUAUGAAAUGUAAUCUCUAAAAUCUUAUUUAGAUGCUACAUUUAAGAUCAAAGAUUUGGGUUCAGUGCACUGUUUUUUGGGUUUGGAGAUCUAUCUUCAUCCUCAAGGGUACAUCAUGAGUCAAUAGACUGACCUUCUCCCUAAGUUCAAUUGUCAGCAUUUCUCCUCUAUGUUGACUCCAUUGGAUCCUUCUGCCAAGCUCACUGUGGAUAUGGGGGAGCAUUUCUCUAAUCCUAGCUUGUAUAAGAGAUUGGUUGGGAAGCUGAAUUUUUUGCAAUAUGCUAGACCUGACAUCUCAUUUCCAGUACAACAUUUAAGUCAGUUUUUACAGAAACCUCAGGUUCCCCACAUGAUGGCUGCUUUGCAUGUACUUAGAUAUCUCAUGAAUGACCCUGCCCAAGGUGUUUUACUUUCAAGUUCUUCUGAUUUUUCCCUUCUAGCAUAUUCUGAUUCUGAUUGGGCAUCUUGUGCUAUAUCUCAUUGUCACAAUCCCAAUUUUCCUCCGUAGUAUGUCGUGAUGACACCUAGUCCUAAGACUAGGUAAGCCUAACACUUACUGAACUAAAAGAUAGAAUUUAACCAGAAACAACCAUUAAGCAUGAUACUAAAAUUUCUAUAGUAAACCAAUAAUCCUGAGUGCAAUUCAAUACCCAAAACCGAUAGUACAAGUCAUAAGCUCUACUGAGUUUACUAGAAAAAUCAGCUAAGUACAAUUGUUAUGGAAUAGAAAUAGACAGUACAAGUACAAUAUCAGAAGGUGACUCUGAGGCCUGCGAAUGCGACGACAGGUAUAUCUUGAGUCUCCGUAGCAAAAUCCGAACAGCUAGCUAGUGAUCAACCAACUCCGAAGUACCUAAGUCCGCACAAAAAUAUGCAAAAAGCGUAGCAUGAGUACACCACAUCGGUACCCAAUAAGUAUCAAGACUAACCUCGGUGGAGUAGUAACGAAGGACAGUCAAGACAACUACUAGAAUAAGCAACAUGUACAAGUGUGAAUGUGAAACUAACAAGAAAAGCUAUGUCAAUAUAAGACUAAGCAUGGUAAAGGUGACAAAACAUUACUCGCAAUAAAAAUACUAGAAACAACGAUUAGCAACAGGGAACAAACAAACAAUAAUGUCGUAAAGUGAGCUGAACACAGUGUAAGUCCGGUGAGACCAAGUAAUUAAAACAAGUAAUAACUCAAUAAGAGCAACCGCUUUCACACAAGAUUUAUUCAAGGAUUUUUUCGAGGUACUUCACCUCAUAGUUAUAUUUCACGGGUCCCAAUUCAUGAAUCCUAAUCACUUGGCAUCUUGUGCCCACAUUAUAAUUCAUAACCGCUCGGAUGACUCACAUGCCAAGGGAGUGAUAAUAUUUCAUACCCUCACGGACAACUCACAUGCCAGCAAUAAUAAUGACCUUUGAUCGUACAGACAACUCACAUGCCAAUUUAACAACUCUCACAGAGAAGGCAAGUAAACGAGAGUACAUGUAAAUGGUUCGUAACAUCAGGAUUCGCCUUUUUUAAAUGAUAUGGGCGAUUAAUUACUUGUAUGCUUGUGUAAGCGUUCUAUCACAACUCAAGUCAAUAAGUAAGAGUAGAGACAAUGAAUGGCACAUAGGGAACAAUCACCAAAAAAUGUGCAAUGUAUAACUCACACAAGGUUGGCACACCACUACACAAACAUCGUCACUAACAAUGCCCCCAGGCCAUCACAACUCAUCACAAAUUAUUCCCCGACAUAGCCCACCUUGUCUCGCCAUGUGCGCAACAGUAAAGUAAAUGUCCGCCUUGUCUCGCCGUACGCGCAUAAUAAUAUUCCCACCUUGUCUCGCCACAUGCGCAAACUCACAUAUAUAGCCCGCCUUGUUACACCGCAUGUGCAAAUAUCAAUAGUAACAAAAGCACGGACAACUCACGUGCGAACACCCUGACAAUCCUCUCAACAAUACCACGAGUGCCACAAACAUAACAAUACAAUAUAAGGUCUUUCACCACAUGUGCCCAUAUGCCACAACUUUCCCUCAAAACAAAUUUCAAUACCGCAACCACGCAUAUCCCUCGGGUCAAUAACACUGAGUACAAUAACAACAAUAAUAAUACGAGAGUACGACAAGUAAAUCAACACAAGAACUACAGAACACAAGGAAAUAGAAGAACGAGCUCACAAUGAAAGACAACACAGGUAUUAAUGGUUCCAACAAGAAUAGCUCAACAAGGAGAGAGAUAAUGUAUAACAACGAUUUCACAUAAGUAGAAUUCAACGAUAAGAGAGAUAGCAUAAAUUAAUGAUUCCAAAUAAGGAUAAGUCAACCAUGAAUGGGAUAACAAAACUUCAAUUAAGGUUAAGUAAUUACGGGAGAGAUAAUAAUAAUAACUUCAAUUAAGAUUAAACAAUUAUGGAAAAUAUAAUAAUAACUUCAAUCAAGGUUAAGAAAUUAUGGGAAGGAUAAUGAUAAUUUUGAUUAAGGUUAAAAAAUUAUGGAAAAAAUAAUGAUAACUUCAAUUAAGGGUAAGCAAGUACAGAAAAGACAGCAUGACAAUAAAAGAGGUGACAACUUCAAUUAAGGCACUUAAGAGUUUAUUGGCAACAAGGGUAGAAAACGAAUCAAUCAACUCCAAAUAAGACACGUAAGGGUGAAUUUAGUAAAUGAAGGAUUUAACAUGAUAAGACAACUUCAUUUUUAAUGAACAUAAGAACCUAAGAGCCUAAAACGGUCAAAUUCUCACAAAUAAACCCGAGUACGUACUCGUCACCUCGCGUACACGGCCUUCACUUGACACAAUUAGCACAACUGACUCAAAUCCUAAGGGGUAGUUCCCCCACACAAAGUUAAGCAAGAUACUUACCUCAAAGAAGCUAGAUCGAUACUCUAAAAUGACCUUCUCGUGUGAAACAACCUCCAGACGGCUCAAAUCUAGCCAAAAUAACUUAAUAUCAUAAAUAAAACCCAUAGGAAAUGAUUCCAAAUAAUAAAGUUUCGAUCUUGAAAGAGAAAUAAAAAGUCAACUCAAAAAGUUAACCUCGGGCCCACGUCUCAGAACCCGAUCAAAAUUAUAAAAUCCGAACACCCACUCGGUAACGAGUCCAACCAUACAAGAAUGACUCAAAUCCGACCUCAAAUCGCCUUUCAAAUCUCCAAAGUUAGUCUAAGAAGUUUUCACAAUGUUCCCCAAAUUUUUCACUUAAAGCACUAAUUAGAUGAUGAAAAUAAUCAUGGAUUCAUGAAAAAUAUAAUAAGAUUUGGGUAAAGAAUACUUAUCCCAAUGAAUUUCUUGAAAAACUCACGAAAACUCGCUUCUAACCGAGCUCCCUAGGUCCAAAUAUGAGUAAUGAAAAUCAAACCCUCGAUAAUAUACAGUCUGCCCAGGCCUUCGGCAUUUGCGGACAAAAUUUGCGCACAUGCUCUCUUGCUUUUGCGAACCAACACUCGCACCAUCGACCUUCACUUAACAGCCCAGAGAUAGCACCUGCGAGCCACCCAUCACAUCUGCAAUUCUGCAGAAGCGGACGACCAACUGGAGUCUCCAUUUCGCAUCUACGAUUAUUCUUCCGCAGAUAUGAUCUCGCACCUGCGGUCCCCCAUCAGCAGAAGCGAAGCAACAAGGCAUGCACCAACAUCGUAGAAGCAACCAAAAUCAUGUAGAAGCGUCCACGCGCCUGCGCUCCAAAAAUGCGCAGGGUGCGGCCCACCAGAACCAGGCUUGCCCAAAGACAUAGAAACCAUCCGAAACUAGUCCGAAACGUACCCGCGACCCCGUCCAAAUAUACCAACAAGUUCCAAAACAUAACGCAGACCCGCUCGAGGCCCCAAAUCACAUCAAACAAUAUCGAAAUAAUGAAUCGCACCUCAAAUCGAACUUAAUGAACUUAUGAACUUUCAACUUCUACAGCUCGCGCCGAUUCACAUCAAAUCAACCCGGAAUAACUUCAAAUUUUGCAUGCAAAUCCUAAGUGAUAUAACAGAGUUAAUCCAACUCUCAGAAUCAAAAUCUAAGUCCGUUAUUAACAAGGUUAACUCCCGGUCAAACCUCUCAACUUUUCAAACCUUCAACUUUCUAACUUUUGCCAAAAUACAUCAAAUUAGCCUACGGACCUCCAAAUCCAAAUUCGGACACACGCCUAAGUCCAAAAUCAACAUACGAAGCUAUUGAAAUCAUCAAAAUACCAUUUCAGAGUUGUCUACACAAAAGUUAAAUUUCGGUUAACUCUUACAACUUAAGCUUCUAAAACAAGAAUUAUUCUUCCAAAUUGAUCCCGAAUCAUCCGAAAACCGAACACGGCCACACACGCAAGUCAUAAUACAUAACACGAAGCUACUUGAGGCCUUAAGCCACCGAAUGGGACGCUAAUUCUCAAAAUGAUCGGCCGGGUUAUUACACUCGCAUGUCUGUUAGUGGAUAUUAUAUUACUCUUGGUGGCAGCCCUGUUUCUUGGAAGAGUAAGAAACAACCUACUAUAUCCUUGUCCUCUGCUGAAGCUGAAUAUCGGGCUCUUAGAUAAGUGGCUGCUGAAAUGUCUUAGCUGGUUAGGCUUUUGGGUGAUCUUGGCUUGUAUAUUACCAGCCCAGUUUCUGUUUUCUGUGACUCACAGGCUGCUUUUCACAUGGCUAAGAACCUUGUUUUUCACGAGCGUACCAUGCAUAUUGAGAUUGAUUGCCACUAUGUCCGUGAAUGUUUGUCUUCCGGCCUACUUACCCCCCAUUACAUCUCUUCAUCAAAUCAAUUAGCGGACAUUAUGACUAAGGCCUCACAGGACCGCCUCAUCGUGAGAUUCUUUGCAAGCUUGGUGUGGUAUCACUCUCAAGCUUGGGGGGGGGGGGGGGAGGGGGGGAGGGAACUAGACUGUUACUCAAGCCCAGUCCAACAAAGAAAAACAGUUGGCCCACUAAUCUGUAGUUAGAGACCCGACCCAAAUUGUACAUAUUUACUUUGUACUUUGCAACUCAUAUUAUUUGUAUCUUUUUUCUUUUCUAUACUUGUAAGUAUAUAGAGACAACAAAUAUGAAUAAAGAUCAGAUUGGUCAGAUUUUAUUUUCUCAUUUCUCACGUUUAUCUCUCUCUUCUUCAACCACUAGGGUUUUCUUUCUCGUUUGAUCCGCCAUAGCUCACAAUUACUCCAAGUUAACAAUAGAAGCGAUGACAUGAAUUUUAUACGAAAUACUUACAUAUUAAAAUACUUAAAUUUUUCUGACUGAAAGGAUAAUGUGAGAAGAUUAAUAUCCUCCAAUUUUGACCAUGAAUUCGGACAUAGAAUUUUUAAGUUCUUUUAAAUAAAAAUUUAUAUAUUUAAAAAUUACAUAGACAAUAAUAUAAUUCACAGUAAGAAACAAUUUAAACUAUUUAAAAGGUAUAUAAAAAAGUCAUGAUCAACGAACAAUUCCUUGACAACUCGUAAUUCGAAAAGUAUCAAAUCAUUUUUGAAACUGACUUACGUAAGACUCCAAAGCAUACUAUUAACUUAUGUAAGACUUUUCUAAGGAUAGCUUAUACAAAUGAAGAGCAGGUAAAAUAAAUGUUUUUGUGCACAUUGUCUUGCUGCUUCUCUAAGAAAAGAAAAAAAACACUGAAAUUCUGGUGCACUACAUAGUAAUAUCCAUUUGCUGCUAUAUUUGCUAAUUAUUGCACAACAAAUUAGCAUCGAGGAAGAUUAUCGAGGAUUUUCUGUGCUUCAUAUUAUGUUAUUACACUUUUGAAGUUUGCUGCUAAUUCAAGCAAUCUUUAGCAUUUCUAACAAAAAUGAGAAUUCUUCUCAUCUCUCCAGAUAUUGUUAAACAAAUCAACAUUCGAUAAGGGUACCAGUUUAUUUUCGGGAAAGAAAAUUCUGCUUAGCAUGCCUUCUCAGAAAUUAUUUUUCUACUUGGAAACUGGUACUAUUAAAAAUGAUGCCUUUUUAAACAUGCUUUAUAUAUUAAGAAGAACAAACCUAAACAACUAUCCACUCAACCAUUUAAAUUACAAAUAGUUGANNNNNNNNNNNNNNNNNNNNNNNNNAUAAUUUGUGUAUAAUCGUGUAUUAUAAGUAUAUAUAAUCAAUGUAUACCGGCUACGAAAAGUAAAUAAUAAAUCCAGUCAUCUACUUGUAUAAAGAUCCUUUAUAUUAAUUAUCCUCUCUUUCAGUUAUUCAUAAUUUGUAUUUACCUAAAAAGUUUAUUUUACAAUUUGUAAUAUUUUAGCUACGUUCAGUAUAGACUUCCCCCCUCCUUCCCCCUCCACCCGCAAAAAAAAAGGAGAAUACCAAUACUGUUGGUGUUAUUAUUUUGUAUUCAAAAUCAGAGAAUCAGAAGCCGUUAGUAUAAGAAAAUAAAAACAGAAAAUUCCGAGCCCACAAGUUUCUUGUAUGUCCUUAAGGAAUUUAAUACCCUCACAGUUGCCCAAGGUUUCGGAUUAAUUCCUCCCAGGAUAGAACGGAAUAACUUUCUGUGACAGCGGCACUUCAAAUCACAAAACUUCGGCGAACUCAAAUGGCAGAGCAAAUCACAGAAAAUGCUUUCGUUUUUGCUUUGAAAAACAAUACAGAAUGCAAAAGAUAGAGGGGAGAGAUUUUUCAGAUUCGGUAGUGGUAAAAUGAGGCUGAGCCUCUCUAUUUAUAGCCAACAACGUUGAGUCCCAACAGGUGCAAAGGUGCAUGUUCGUUUGAAGAGGUAUUUAUUCGACAAAAAGUUUGAAUUUCUAUUAAACAGAAUAUUUGGACGCGAAUUUGACCGUUGGAAAAUAAUACCGCAAAAUUCCAAUUAAUACUUUUCACGCAAAAAUAUUAGGAAAUGAAAUAUUAAUUGACGCAAAAGGAAAAUAAAUUUGGUCCAAAAAAUUAUUAAUCAAUCAUAUCAAUUGACCAAAUCUAAAUCCGAAGCCGAAGCCGAAGCCGAGCGGAGCGAGCGACGAUUAUGGCGCGAGGCUUGCUUUCUUCUUAACUCUUUAAGAGUUAGAAGAAGUGCUUCUAUAUAAAAGCACAAAAAUUUUCCUCUUUCUAUCCAAUGAGGGACAAAGUUCCUUUGUAAAAGGGACUAAUUCAAAAUUUUAUUUCCCUCAAUUUCUUUUUCAACUAUUUUUUAUUCACACCUCUUUUGUGUUAAUUAAUAAAAUCCAACAAUCCCCCACACGAAUGGGGAAUGGCUAUUCAGAAAAAUAUGCAUGAAAUAAUGGUUUGAUUCGCAAGUAAGGAUUAAUCGCAUCUGGAUAAGUAGGUUUCCCUUUGAACUUUCCGUAGUGAACAUAUGUCGGAUAUAUCAAUCGGUAGAUUUGAUAUCUUUGAACCGUCGAACUUUGGUUUAUACCUAGACAGCCAUACGUCACACAAUCAAUGCUUAACCGUCUUUGGUUCUCAUUGUUGUGUUCGUUCCAUCCAUGAACACCGCCUGGUUUCAUAAGUGCGUAGAGAACUGGCCUUACAAAAUUCUCAUUGAAGCGGCUUACACUUCACACUGCAUAUGUGACUUCUAAACGUGUUAUCCCGUAGAUACACUAUUUGAUAUACCCCAUAUCAAACUUAAAAACUAUUAAAAAUCCUUAACGUUUUAUCCUUGUUACUGAACAUUGUCUUUAUCAUGAGAAUGGACCAAAUUUUAUUCGAUAAUGUUGAACCGUCACUAAUGAUUUUGUUUGAUCUCCUUGAAUCUAGAUCUUGGGAUCUCUAGUCUUCUAGGUAGAGUUACCACCACAGUGACUUGUCCUCGGCCAUAGUCCUAUUCCCUUUGAUGACUUCCCAACCGCCUCUCUAGUUAGGCCUUUUGUAAGCGGAUCCGAUACAUUAUCUUUUGACUUUACAUAGUCAAUUGUGAUAAUUCCACUACAGAGUAGUUGUCUAAUGGUAUUAUGCCUUUGUCGUAUGUGAUGAGAUUUACUGUUAUACAUAACGCUCCCAGCCCUUCAUAUUGCCGCUUGACUGUCGCAGUGUAUGCAUAUAGGUGCCAAAGGUUUGGGCCAAAAUGGAAUAUCUUCCAAGAAAUUCCGGAGCCAUUCACCUUCUUCAUCGGCCUUGUCUAAAGCUAUAAACUUAGACUCCAUUGUAGAGCGGGCGAUGCAUGUCUGUUUGGAAGACUUCCAAGACACUGCUCAUCCACCAAUGGUAAAAACGUAUUCACUUGUGGAUUUUGAUUUUGUUGAUCUGGUGAUCCAAUUUGUAUCACUAUAUACCUCAAUAACUGCGGGAUAAUUAUUGUAAUGCAAUGCAUAGUCUUGGGUAUAUUUCAAAUAUCCCAAAACUGGUUUCAUUUCUAUCCAAUGAGCUUGGUCGGGAUUACUUGUAUAUCGACUAAGCUUACUUAUCGCACAAGGUAUAUCAGGUCGUGUACAAUUCAUAAUGUACAUCAAACUUUCCAACACUCUAGCAUAUUCCAAUUGAGACUUGCUUUGACCUUUAUUCCUUACAAGAGUAUGGUUUACAUCAAUUGGCAUUCUUGCAACUUUAAAGUCCAAAUAUUUGAAAUUUUCAAGUACCAUUUUAAUAUAAUGAGAUUGAGACAAAGCUAGACCUUGAGGAGUCUUAAGAAUCUUAAUUCACAAAAUUAAAUUAGUAACUCCUAAGUUUUUCAUACCAAACUUACUAGUAAGCAUGCGCUUAGUAGCAUUUAUGUUAGCAAUGUCGUUACUCAUUAUCAACAUAUCAUCAACAUAUAAACAAACAAUGACUAUUUGAUUUGGAGUAUUCUUUAUGUAAACACAUUUGUCACACUCAUUGAUCUUGAAAUCAUUUGACAACAUUGUUUGGUCAAAUUUUGCAUGCCAAUAUUUUGGUGCUUGUUUUAGUCCGCAUAGUGACUUAACAAGUCGACCCACCUUCUUUUCUUUUUCGAGAACUACGAACCCUUCAAUGUAACGACCUGAUCAGUCAUUUUGAGAAUUAGCAUCUCGUUCGAUGGCUUAAGGUCUCGAGUAGUUUUGUGUUAUGCAUUAUUACUUGCAUAUGUGGUCGAGUUUGAUUUUCGGAUGAUUCAGGAUUGAUUUGGAAGGAUGAUUCUUGUCUUAGAAGCUUAAGCGGUCAGAGUUGAUCGGAGUUUGACUUUUGUGUAGACGAUUCGGAUGAUUUCAAUAGCUUCGUAUGGUGAUUUUGAACUUAGACGUAUGCCCGGCUUUUGGAUUUGGAGGUCUGUAGGUUGAUUGAUGCAUUUUGGCAAAAAUUGAAAAGUUGAAGGUUUGAAAGGUUAAGAGGUUUAACCGGGAGUUGAAUCUAUGAAUAUCGGGCUCGGAUUGUGAUUUUCAGAGUUGGAAUAUCUCACUUAUGUCAUUUGGGACUUGCAUUCAAAAUUUGAGGUUAUUCCAAGUUGAUUUAAUAUAAUUCGGCGCGGAUUGUAGAAGUUAAAAGUUUAUAAGUUUAUUAAUUUCGAUUUGAGGUGUGAUUCGUAGUUUUGAUAUUGUUCGAUGUGAUUUGAGGCCUCAAGCAGGUCCACGUUAUGUUACGGAACUUGUUGGUAUGUUCGGACGAAGUCCCGAGGGGCUCGGGUAAGUUUUGGACCAUUUCUAAGCCAUUUGUAACUGCUGUUUUUUGGCCACAGGGGUAUGCAUUUCGAUCGCGGACUCUGGGUCGCGUUCGCGUAGAGAAAAUUUGUUGUCUGGGCACUGUGAAUUGCGAUCGCGGAAGUCUUUUCACGAUCGAGUAGAGGAAAUUCUAUUGUCACUAUCCCGAUUUUGGAAGCUCAUAUCUUGCAAUCUAUAAGAAAUUUGGAGAUGAUCCAAAAAUAAAAGUUGUAGCCCUUUGAGUUUACUUUUCAGAAAAUCAAACCAUUUGCCAGUUUGAGUUUUGUACAAAAGGUUAUGGCUAUUAAACAACAGACUAUCUGAGAAGAUUUUGGGAAGGGUAAUCGGAAUUUGUUCAUCGCGAUCGCGAAGGGUAAAAUUUGUGCUAAAAAACUUUUGAAUUGCGAUCGCGAGGUUGGUGACCGUGAUCAUGAAGGGUACCUCUAGAGCAAUGUUUAAGAUACUCUAUUUCGAAGGUGUUAGUCAUUUUAUCAUAUUUUGAGCUAUGUAGCUCGGAUUUGGGCGAUUUUGAAGAGGAUUUUCACAUUUUGGAUUGGGGUAAGUGUUUUUUAUCAGGAUUUAAUUAUAUUUCGUGAUUUCUUCUUUAUUUUUAACAUUAAAUUAGUGAUUUGAAUGGGAGAAAAAUGAGAAUUUUUGUAUAAACUUUCAAAAAUAUAAAAUGAGGAUUUGAAGCCCGAUUUGAUGUCGGAAUUGGAUAAUUUUGAUAUGGUUGGACUUGUAUCGGAAUGGCGUUCGGAUUUUAUAAAUUUUGUCGGGUUCCGAGGUGCGAGCCAGGGAUUGACCUUUUGGGCUGGCUUUUUAGUUUUCAUUAAAGAUCGAAACUUUAUUAUCCUGAGUUAUUUUCUAUGGUUUUUAUUUAUGAUAUUAAGUUAUUUUGGCUAGAUUUGAGCCGUCCGGAGGUUGUUUCACACGAGAAGGUCAUUUUAGAGUAUUGGUUUAGCUUCUUUGAGGUAAGUAUCUUGUUUAACUUUAUGUGGGGUAACUACCCCCUUAUGAUUUGAGUCGUUAGUGUUAUUUGUGUCAUGUGAAAGCCGUGUACGUGAGGUGACGAGUACGUACUCGGGCUUAUAUGUGAAAAAUUGACCGGCUUAGACUCUUAGGCUUCUUUCAUGUACUUAUUUGAAAUUGUUAGCACAUGUUAUAUCUUUUAUUCAUCAUGUCUACUAUCACAUGCUUUCUUUGAAGUUGUCGUUACAUGUCACAUUCUUUACUUGUCAAGUUUUCUCUUAUAUGCUUUAUUUGAAGUUGUUAUCAUUUUUAUCAUUAUGUGAUUUUUUUAGUGAAGUUACUCUUAGUUGAAAUUGCUGUUACAUGAUAUCCUUUUGUUGCUGGAUUAUUCUCAUGCAUUUAGACGUAAAACUAGUUCAUUCUAUCUCUUUCAUUGUUAUCCUAAUUCAUACAUUAGAAUCUGAAGUUUGCCAUUUCAUAGAAAUACUUUCACUAUCGAGUUUAUCCUUAAACAAUUAAUUGGAUUUGAUAUUAUCGAAAGAAUUAAUCUAUUUUAAUUGAAGUUGUGUUUAAAGGGGGUGUUGUUCCUUGUUGAGUUACUUUUCUGUUCAUUUUGUUAUUAUUGAGAUUCCAUGCACAUUGUGUUUGAGUCGUGGGCUAUUUGUCGUGGAAAUAUUGAUAUUGUUGGAUCUUUGAAAAGGUCGUGGCCUAUGAGCACUUGUGGUAUGAGUUGAUAUGUCGUGUUGUUGUGACGUUAGGAAAUGUGAAUUGUUGUGUGAUUUGGUUGUUGUUAUGCAGAGUAUGAGGGUGACAUUUCACCAUUGUUUUUAUGCGGGGCAUAAGGGUGGCAUCUCACUGUUGUUGAAUGUACAGAGUGAUAUGGGUGGUUAUUGUGUUAUUGUCCGGGCGGAGUGAUAAGGGUGACUAUUAUACGGAAUGAUACGGGUGGCGAAUGAUAUUGUCAGGGCGGAGUGACACAAGUGGCUAUCGGAGAGAUAAGGGUGGCAAUGUCAGGGAUGAUGUGUGAUGGAUUUGGGACAUUGUGUUGGUGAUUUUUUUGUGAUGGUGUGCUUUUCCUUGUGUAUGUCAUACACCUUACGUGACUUAUUGUGUUGCUUUGAUGAGCUACUCCAUAUCUUUGAUAUUACUUGUUGACUUGGGCUGCAGUAGUACACUCGCACAAGCAUACACUAUAGCAUGCCACUUAUACUAGCUCAGGAGUAUGAAACUUGACAUUUGUUAAUCAUGCCCAUAUGUUAUUGUAUUAUCUGUUUUCAAGUUGCUGUUGAGCCUGUGACCAUGCGGGGCAGAUUGUGACUGUGCGCCUGUGAUCAUGCCGGGCGAAUUAUGAUUGUGAGCCUGUGACCAUGCCGGGUGGAAUGUGAUUGUGAGCCUGUGACCAUGCCGGGUGGAUUGUGAUUGUGAGCCUGUGACUAUGCCAGGAAGAUUGUGAUUGUAAGCCUGUGAUCAUGCCAGGUGGAUUGUGAAUGUGAGCAUGUGAUCAUGCCGGGCGGAUUGAGAUAUUGGCACGUGAGUUGUCCGUGCGGUUGUGAUUUGAGAUGUGGGCACAAGGUGCCAUGAUCAUAUGAUGGUAGGUUAAGACACUUGACUUGUGACUAGGAGAUGAAGUAUCUUAGGUAAUUUCAUUGCGAAAUUGUGUUAGAACGGCUUUAUUAAUUGAUUGUCAUUUGUGUUCCUUUUUGGUUUCAAUGGUACUUUCAUGGUGUUCUUAUUGCUUUACUAUUUAUAUCACACGUCGAUUCUUGUUGCCAUUUACUGAUUCCUGCUUUCCUUUAUUAGCUUUAUACUUCUAUAUUGCACAUGUUAGUUUGUCUAGUGGGUGUCUUGAUUUGUACCUCGUCACUACUCCACCGAGGUUAAUCUUAAUACAUACUGGGUACCGACCGUGGUGUACGCAUACUACACUUUUGCAUAUUUUUGUGCAGAGCCAGGUAUUAGAGAUAUCAGACUCGGGCAGAGUUAGCUUAUUGGUCUCGAGGAUUCAAGGCAGAGCUGUUUGGUCGUCGCAGUCCCUUGGAGUUCUUUCCUUUCAUUGUACUGUCAGCUUGUUAUUUGAAAAGUAUUGUAUUUCGAUCUUUAAGAUCUUUCCAUGUACUUAGCUUGAUUUCGU
rnacentral:lncRNA from 1 species